CACAAACUGGAGUCCAGAUUUUGAAAACAUCAGAAGACAUGCAGUGGAUGUGACUCUAGACCCUGAUACGGCACAUUGUAAACUCAUCCUGUCUGAUGACGGGGAACAAGUGAGACAUGGAGAACUAAAUCAGGUUCUCUCUGACAACAGGAAGAGGUAUAAAAAUUGGU